GGGGACAUAGCUCAGUUGGUAGAGUGCUUGUCUCAAAGGCACAAGGCCCUGGGUUCAAUCCCCAGUGCCACCA
rnacentral:tRNA from 1 species